AGGGCUGUGGCUGUUUCCCUAAUUGCAGCCUAGGCAGUGCCUGCCCUGGGCACUGAGCCCUUUCUCUAGGUGUGUAACAACAUGACCCUCUCGGAGUGAAGAACCCUUGUCUAGGCAUAUACAAACCCUGCACAUGGUUUUUGUUGUGUGCCUUUCAUCACAUGCUUUAGCUGACAAUGAAGAGGAUUGACCUGAGCACGGGGUAUGGCAAGGAAAGAAGCAAUUAAUUAUAAAAUCCAUUGAACAUUUUAAAAAAUGGAGGGAUUAUUUUUAGUUUUGAGUCAGUGGCGUUGCUGGUUUCAGCGUGCUUUCAGAGUCCUGGCUCUGCUGCCAUGAACCUUCUCCUGGUGAGGUGUGAAGCAGACAUUCCUCUGCCAACCUGAAGGAAAAGGAGGAGGUGGUGGGAAUGCAGACAUACAGGUCUCCCCGUGGGAGAGUUCGCACUCGCUCCUGCAAUGCCUGAUUCCUUCAGCUGCAUGUGAUCCUGGGGUGCUGGUGGUCUUGGGGAGGGCAGCGUGUGAGCCCAGCUGGGUAUUGUGCCCACAGCCAGCACCACUCUCUGACCUUCCUCUGAUGUGGCAGUUGAUGCAGAAGCCCAGGUUUCCUUCCACGGGGUCGGAAGAGCAAGGAGGGCUGCAUGGACCAGCUGAUGCGUGUGCUGGCCAGACUCUCCCUAUCUGGCAGAAGUGACUCAUCGGUGGCAUGACCCAGGCGCUGUGAGGCUUGUUGAGCUCAGGGGGAGUUUGACUUCACAUCCUCUAUUUCCUUGAAGAUUUGUCUUUAGUCCUUGCCUUACCCCAGCCCUCAUCUGCAUUUGCUUUCCAGCCUGGGCUGAAGUGGUCUGCCCCAGAUGCCUUCCCGGUGCCAGUGGCUCCCUUGUUUUGGGGAGUGGGGUGCUGCCAUUGCAGAGCUGGAGCUGCUGCCUCCACCUGGGGCUCAUUACGUGCUGCUUCCUCUCCAGCUGCCAGGGGCCUGGACAGAGAGCAGGGAAAUCGCACGCAAGGCGCUUGUAAAACCCUCAGCCCUGUCUGCCAUUGGAGUAAGAGCUGGCUGAGCCUCCCUCCCUGCAGGACGGGCUUCCUGCCCUAGGAAAUCCCCUGCUGUAAGGCAGCCCAGCAGAUCCACCUUGGGGAUCUCAAACUGUGGCCAGUCAGCACUGGCUGGGUACAGAAUGAAAGCUAUGGGUUUUUAGAAAACUCUAAUAAAACCUUUGAUUAUGCAUAAGGAAGAAAAAAAAAAAGGCGAUCCUGCUUGCUCCCCAGCUCUGUGGUUUGCCUAAACCUACUUCCCUGGAAUACACUGGAGUUUGAUCUUUGAGAAAUGAUAUCUAAAAAGCCCACAUGUAAAAACUUAACUGUUCCAGCGAUAGGAUCAUACUCUGCCUUUGAUCCUGUAAAUUGUUGAACCACAACUCUAUUCGUUGCCCAAGGACUGCAGGAAAUGUACGCGGGGUUAUGCAAAUCCCUAGGAGAGGGAAUGUUUUGCAGGGAGGGGGGAAGAUGGCUCUGGCCGCAGCUGUCAGUCUCUGGAUGGCAGCUGAAUAGUUUGGCAGUGCCCGCGCUCUCCUGUGUCACCCCGCCGCCAGUUCCCACGGCUCCUGCCCCUCUCUGCUCACCGUCCUCCAGUUGUGCAAGUCUGCGGCGGUGAGCUUUUUUCAGAUCUCCCCCUGCGUGUGCUGGUGGCAUUUACAGGCAGAGUCUGCAAGCUCGGUCCUUCGUCUGCAUUCUUCUCCGAGCCACCACUGUGAGUGCUGUGUUCAUGUUUCGCCUCUAAAUCCCCACGACUUUUGCAGGCUGGGGAUGUUUGCAUGGGGUGGGUCAAUCUGAUGGUAAGACACAAAACAAUUUAUUUGGGAACUUUGAGGGGAGAUAAGCCUGCACCAGAGCCAAACCAAGGCAGAACAACACAACAGGGACAUGACAGCUCCCAUCUGCUGGCCUGGCAGGACUUUUAUUCUGUGUAAAAUGUGAAUUUUCCUCUUUCCCAGACUUGCAAAAGAAUAGUCAAAAGCCUUGUAAAGACGCAGGUUGGUUGUAGUGUGGGAGUACAUCCAUCAGCAACACCACAUUCAAAACAAGAGUGCUUGACAUUGUAACCACAGCUCAGGGUAACAGAUCCUGAUAAAAAAUAAAAGUAGAGGUCCUUUG